UUUCUGAUUGAAACGUAGAAGUCAAAAUUUACUCUUUCAGUGCUGCUACUUUCACAUUUAGCACAAUAAUAUAGUA